UCCGGUGUGGUGUAUCGGUUAUCAUUCCGCGUUUUCAUCCAAGUAAGAUCCGCGGCGAGGAGGGUUCGACUCCCUCCAUCGGAG